rnacentral:lncRNA from 10 species
UGAAGACUGAGUUUUCAGUUCAUGCGAGAUCUGAUUGUUUAAAAGAGUGCAGCACUUCCUCCACCUUGCUCCCUCUCUUGCCACUGAUGUGCCUGCUUCCCCUUCACCUUCUGCCUGGAUUGUAAGCUCCCUGAGAACCUCACCAGAAGCAGAUGCCAGCACCACGCUUCCUAUACAGCCUGCCAAAAUGAGCUCCUGAAUUUCACAGACAAAUCCAGACCCCUGUGUGGAAAGCCUGCGGUGGUGUUCUCCGUCUUCCCACAGGACUCCCUGCAGCCAGGAAUUCUAGGGGAGCACCUGACGCGAGGUAUACGCCCAGAUGGCCUGAAGUAACUGAAGAAUCACAAAAGAAGUGAAAAUGUCCUGCCCCGCCUUAACUGAUGACAUUCCACCACAAAGGAAGUGUCAAUGGCUGGUCCUUGCCUUAACUGAUGACAUUCCACCGCAAAAGAAGUGAAAAUGGCCGGUCCUUGCCUUAACUGAUGACAUUACACCACAAAAGAAGUGAAAAUGGCCGGUCCUUGCCUUAAGUGAUGGCAUUACCUUGUGAAAGUCCUUUUCCUGGCUCAUUCUGGCUCAAAAUCACCCCCACUGAGCACCUUGUGACCCCCACUCCUGCCCGCCAGGGAACAAUCCCCCUUUGACUGUAAUUUUCCUUUACCUACCCAAAUCUUAUAAAAUGGCCCCACCCCUAUCUCCCUUUGCUGACUCUCUUUUUGGACUCAGCCUGCCUGCAUCCAGGUGAUUAAAAGCUUUUAUUGCUCAC